rnacentral:rRNA from 1 species
UACGUAGGGUCCGAGCGUUGUCCGGAAUUACUGGGCGUAAAGGGCUCGUAGGCGGCCAACUAAGUCAGACGUGAAAUCCCUCAGCUUAACUGGGGAACUGCGUCUGAUACUGGAUGGCUUGGAUUCGGGAGAGGAAUGCGGAAUUCCAGGUGUAGCGGUGAAAUGCGUAGAUAUCUGGAGGAACACCGGUGGCGAAGGCGGCAUCCUGGACCGAUAUUGACGCUGAUGCGCGAAAGCCAGGGGAGCAAACGGG